GAUGAACGCUGGCGGCGUGCCUAAUACAUGCAAGUCGAGCGAACAGACGAGGAGCUUGCUCCUCUGACGUUAGCGGCGGACGGGUGAGUAACACGUGGAUAACCUACCUAUAAGACUGGGAUCACUUCGGGAAACCGGAGCUAAUACCGGAUAAUCUCUUGCACCGCAUGGUUCAUUAGUGAAAUACGGUUUUUCUGUCACUAAUAGAUGGAUCCGCGCCGCAUUAGCUAGUUGGGAAGGUAACGGCUUACCACGGCGACGAUGCGUAGCCGAGCUGAGAGGGUGAUCGGCCACACUGGAGGGGAGACACGGUCCAGACUCCUACGAGAGGCCGCAGUAGGGAAUCGUACGCAAUGGGCGAAAGCCUGACGGAGCAACGCCGCGUGAGUGAUGAAGGUCUUCGGAUCGUAAAACUCUGUUAUUAGGGAAGAACAAAUGUGUAAGUAACUGUGCACGUCUUGACGGUACCUAAUCAGAAAGCCACGGCUAACUACGUG
rnacentral:rRNA from 1 species